rnacentral:rRNA from 1 species
UACGUAGGGGGCAAGCGUUGUCCGGAAUCAUUGGGCGUAAAGAGCGUGUAGGCGGCCCGAUAAGUCCGCUGUGAAAGUCCAGGGCUCAACCCUGGGAUGCCGGUGGAUACUGUCGGGCUCGAGUCCGGAAGAGGAGUGUGGAAUUCCCGGUGUAGCGGUGAAAUGCGCAGAUAUCGGGAAGAACACCCGUGGCGAAGGCGGCUCUCUGGGACGGUACUGACGCUGAGACGCGAAAGCGUGGGGAGCGAACAGG